rnacentral:rRNA from 1 species
AGGCCAAUCAAACCGGGAGAUAGCUGGUUCUCCCCGAAAGCUAUUUAGGUAGCGCCUCGUGAAUUCAUCUCCGGGGGUAGAGCACUGUUUCGGCAAGGGGGUCAUCCCGACUUACCAACCCGAUGCAAACUGCGAAUACCGGAGAAUGUUAUCACGGGAGACACACGGCGGGUGCUAACGUCCGUCGUGAAGAGGGAAACAACCCAGACCGCCAGCUAAGGUCCCAAAGUCAUGGUUAAGUGGGAAACGAUGUGGGAAGGCCCAGACAGCCAGGAUGUUGGCUUAGAAGCAGCCAUCAUUUAAAGAAAGCGUAAUAGCUCACUGGUCGAGUCGGCCUGCGCGGAAGAUGUAACGGGGCUAAACCAUGCACCGAAGCUGCGGCAGCGACACUGUGUGUUGUUGGGUAGGGGAGCGU